rnacentral:misc_RNA from 1 species
GAUGAAGAACGCAGCGAAAUGCGAUAAGUAAUGUGAAUUGCAGAAUUCAGUGAAUCAUCGAGUCUUUGAACGCACAUUGCGCCCCCUGGUAUUCCGGGGGGCAUGCCUGUCCGAGCGUCAUUGCUGCCCUCAAGCACGGCUUGUGUGUUGGGCCCCCGUCCCCGGUUUCCCCCGGGGACGGGCCCGAAAGGCAGCGGCGGCACCUCGUCCGGUCCUCGAGCGUAUGGGGCUUUGUCACCCGCUCUGUAGGCCCGGCCGGCGCCAGCCGACACCCAACUUUAUUUCUAAGGUUGACCUCGGAUCAGGUAGGGAUACCCGCUGAACUUAAGCAUAUCAAUAAGCGGAGGA